rnacentral:rRNA from 1 species
AUUGAACGCUGGCGGCAUGCCUUACACAUGCAAGUCGAACGGUAACAGGUCUUCGGAUGCUGACGAGUGGCGAACGGGUGAGUAAUACAUCGGAACGUGCCCGAUCGUGGGGGAUAACGGAGCGAAAGCUUUGCUAAUACCGCAUACGAUCUACGGAUGAAAGCAGGGGACCGCAAGGCCUUGCGCGGACGGAGCGGCCGAUGGCAGAUUAGGUAGUUGGUGGGAUAAAAGCUUACCAAGCCGACGAUCUGUAGCUGGUCUGAGAGGACGACCAGCCACACUGGGACUGAGACACGGCCCAGACGCCUGCGGGAGGCAGCAGUGGGGAAUUUUGGACAAUGGGCGAAAGCCUGAUCCAGCCAUGCCGCGUGCAGGAUGAAGGCCUUCGGGUUGUAAACUGCUUUUGUACGGAACAAAAAGACUCUUUCUAAUAAAGAGGGUCCAUGACGGUACCGGAAGAAUAAGCACCGGCUAACUACGCG